GCACAAGCAGUGGAGUAUGUGGUUUAAUUCGAAGCAACGCGAAGAACCUUACCAGGUCUUGACAUCCGAUGCAUAACACGGAGAUGUGUGAAAUCCUUCGGGACAUCGAGACAGGUGGUGCAUGGUUGUCGUCAGCUCGUGUCGUGAGAUGUUGGGUUAAGUCCCGCAACGAGCGCAACCCAUAUUGCCAGUUACUACGUUAAGAGGACUCUGGCGAGACUGCCGUUGACAAAA
rnacentral:rRNA from 1 species